GAGAUGACGUCACUCCCGGCGCGCCGCCGGUGCCGCCGCCGCCGUUCCCGGAGAGCUGGCGGGAGAGCGGCGGGGGCCGGAGCGGAAGUGACGUCACAGAGAUAGAGAGCGCGGGAAAGCGGCUGGGGAUGGGCGGGAGUGACGUCAGGUGGUGACAUCAUUGCUGCGGGAGCUCGGCCCCGCCCCCGCCGUGCUGGACGCGCUGGAUUGGCUGUUCCCGGAAGGGGCGGGGCCAGGGGAUGGCCACGCCCUCGGGACGCUGCAGGGCCGCCCCCUGGUGGGCGU